CUAUUUCCUUCCACUUGAGUCUAACAUUUGGUCUCUUCAUAGCCAAUAUUCUGUUUUAUGGAAAGGCUUUAAAGUUUUCCUGAAGGAGAUGAGUAAAAGGUGAAGUACCCAAGACAACCUAAAUUUAUAUUAUUCCUUUUGCCAUUAUUAUUAAAAAUAGGAAAGAAGAAGUAGUGUUGGGGAAAACACAGGGAAUGCUGAUGCAAUUAUACCUACAUGUGCAAAGCUACGUGCUUGCUUUUACUCUUGAAAUUUAGACCUCUGCUUUCCUUCUACAGACUGGGACAGUUCAUUUCAGUUGCAUUUUGCAACUACUGACAUACAUGUUCAUUCCUAAAUUCACUUCAUAUGCUUCCAAAUCCUUAGGACAACAUUCAGUUUAGGCACACCAAGAAAAACCUGGAGUGAUUCCACCCACCUAAAUGUAAUUACUCAGUGCUGAAUUAAAGGCACAGGUGUGUAACUUAAGACCCAUGUGUUUGGAGUAACAAGGAGAGAUCAAAAUCUCAGCUUUUGUCAUUAAAUUCAAUGUUUCUAGACCUUAAUCCAAGACACAUUUGUAGAGAGAGGUGAUAGCUUCUUUUUAGAGGCAUUACUAUUAUUAAACAGUGUUUUCUUGGACUGCUCACAUUUUCUCCCAGCUCACCGUCUAACACUAAUCUGUGACUAAAUAUUAAAAAAAAAGUGAGCUGUGAAUGGUUUUAAGCUGAGACAAGAUUCUCACUGUUAAUGGCUUGGUCAGAGAGAGAGAGUAUUUGUUUCAGCAUGUAAAUCUCUUUCCUGCAACGCUUAAAGCUGCUGAUUCUGGAGUUUAGGAGGCCAGCGUGUCCAGAGCUGCUCUAGUCCCUGGGCUGAUGAGCUCUCCCAGCUGGGUAAAGCUCUGUCAGGAGCCAGUUUGUAGUGAAUUGACUGCAGGCAGAAAAUAUAAAAGCUCAUAGGAAACAUGAGCCUGACUCAGGAGCUAUUUCUGUUCAGGUGACAUUCUAAUCCAAGCGUGUGGUGAAUCAUUACAGCAAAAAUUGAUUGGACCCCAUAUCAAACGAGUAUUGAUAAAUAUGAAGAAGUUUGUUUUGAGUUAGUAAUAUAAGGGGUCUUUUAUAUAUAUGGUGCAUUACAACGGGGGGAUUCAGGGCUUUGUCAGACUGUCUAUAAAAAUUAAAAAAAUACAUGUUUGUAUAAAAAUCUCCGUUCUAUACUUGUGGCUUUGAAGGCCUGGGCUGUUUUUCUUUUCCUUCUGGAGUAGCUGCGAUUCAUCUCGUUCGAGUGGAGUGAAUUCAUCCCGUUUCCGAGGCCAACGGGAGGAGCGAGCGGGCGGCCAUGUUGUGCGGGGGGCGGGGAGGAAGGAGCCGAGAUGGCGGCGGCUCCCUCACACACACGGCACAGGAUGGCCGGGGAGCAGCGGCAGCUCCCGCACGGCUCCCGGGCGCGCUCCCCGCCGCUCGCUCGGGGGACACCCGGCCGGAUCCCCGGGUGCAGCGCUCGAGGGCCGAGUCGGGCCCGGCACCCUGGGGGCGAGCGGGGCUGCCGAGAGGGGCUGGGACGGGCGGGCAGCAAUGGCGCCGGGACUGCGAGCGCUGCCCGCGCCGCUCCCUCGCCGGGCGGGCGCGGGGCCGCCCUUGGCCGCGGGAAGGGCGAGCAUCGGAGCAGCGCCCCGUCCUCGGGGCCCCCGGUGCCGGCCAGCGGGCUGCUCUUCGCCAGAUUUGGAUUAUGGUGGUUUUCUAACCCAGCCACAGUUCUGCAGUAUAGAACAGGUUCUGGCAUACACACUGUGCCCUAAAGGAAGUUCUGGCUGUAGGUAGAAUGCCAUGAACAAUUCCUUAUUGUCUGAGUGGCUUCAGAGGAAACGUUCAUGAGUUAUUUUCUCAGAUGCAGGUAGACUGUCUUCAAAUACUGUCAUGUUUCUGUGCUCCUUCUGUCUAAAUUUGAGUUUCCCCAGCCUGCCUGGUUAGGUGUUCCUCAACCAGACGACAGGAGGAGACGGCAGAGAGAGACCGGGCUCACGCAGGGCUGAGCAGCGAGUCAGGGGCUCUGCGCCUCAGGGCUCUGGCCUGUGCUGCAAACUCCUCUCACUUCUGCCUUGGAACCAGUGGAGGAGCACCUGGAGCACACCUGGGUGUUCCAAGGACAGAGACUCCCUGACUCACCAUGGCAGACAGGCAGGAGGAGGCGCGGAAGGGAGGGAGCCAGGUGAGAGCAAAGUGCCCCUCCCGCAGCCUGGCAGAGGGGCUGUCAGGGUGGGCAGCACAGGUGCCAUGCCCGGGGCCACUGUCUCUCUCCCUCCAGCAUGCCUGCUGUGUCAGUAAUCAGAGCCUGACCCGGACAUCUGUGGAGAAAACCUUCACAUAAAUGGCUUCUGUGCCCACCAGUUCUGCCUGGUGAGUUGCUUCAUGGGCUCUCUCCAUUUUCUGACAGGCAGUCCCUGCCACUCUCUCCCCAUCAGUGAGUGUCAUUCUCCUGCAGUUUUUUACCAGCCACCUUCUUUACCACCCGGCUGAUCGAGUAGGAAUCUGUGUUUUCCUCCCAAGGAAUAUCCCAGAUGUAGUCUCCCGGGCGGCACAGAAGGUGAAAAAAGUAGGGAAAUUUGGGCCAGGCGAGGUUUGCUGGAGCUCAACCCAGACCCCAAGCAAGAAAGCCCAGCCCUUCCAACCAGCUCUGGGACAAGGAGGAGGCCCUGAGGCUGCUGCUGAUGGGGCUGCUCUGCUCUUUCCAGAGCUGCUGCAUCUGUGGCCAGAGCGGGGCCACCAUCCCCUGCUGUGAUGGCACAGCGGGAAGGCAGGGACACCCUGCACCUGCCCGAUUCCAGGACAGAGGGAGCUCAUCAGGUUUCUUUUCCCAUCAGGCCACCAUCAUGGGAGGGCUUUAAUGCAUUGGCCGAGCUAGAAGAGACACACAGGCACUGGGAUGCCAGUGAGUGCCUUUGUCCAGGAGGCAGGCAGGAGGCAGAGGAGGAGGGGUAAGUUGCCAAAGCUGCACCCCAGGGCUCUGCCGGGCUUGAAGCAGAAGGACCCAGGAGAAGAGCUCAGCACCUCCAUGAACUCGUUUGCUUCCCCAGGCCCUGGGAACUGCUCCUGUGCUCCUCCUGUGCUGCCGAGGGCACCCACAGGCACUGCUCUGGCCUGGGGACAGCAGAACCAGAUGGGAAUGUGAUGGCUGUGCAGUCCCGGGCACAGGGAAAAGGCAACGCACCCUGGUGAUCCUGGCAGCUGCUGCCCCUGGGCCUGGCAAUGGGUGUCCAGGGUUGGCUUGGCUGAGCUUGUCUGCUCCAGGAGGGCUGGGGGCACUGCUCUGGCCUAUCUUGUCCCAGGUCUGGAACGAUCUUGUCCCUCCUGCUUCCCCUUACAGCCUCCAGUUAAGACCCAGAGCAUGUUGCUCUCAUGAAGGAAUCUUCUGAC